rnacentral:sRNA from 1 species
AGUUAAGUACUUUGACCGUCCAAU